AUAAAAGCCAAUAUGGGUAUGAAAAAGAUGAAGUGCUGUCAAGAAUAGCAACUUUCAAGUAUCAGUGACAGCCACAAACAUUUGUUCAGAGGAAAUACAAAAUGAAUAUGCAGUAUCUGGUGUGGAGUCAGCGAAGCAGAAAGAAUAAGGAUUGCUAAACAAACUAACAUAAAAAAAUCAUGUCAUUUGGAUUGGUCCACCAGCUCCACAGUGAGGUUUUCAUGCAUCAGCCUCCUUGGCUGGAACCCUGCCUCCCCAUCCCAUUGCCAGAGAAUUAUGAUGAUGACUGGCUGCGCUUCAGCGGGUUAUUUGUCCAAUACUGCAUGUUAUUUGUAGCCAACCUGAGCGCUAAU